AUUGAACGCUGGCGGCAGGCCUAACACAUGCAAGUCGAGCGGGGUUUUCGGACCUAGCGGCGGACGGGUGAGUAAUGCGUAGGAAGCUACCCGAUAGAGGGGGAUACCAGUUGGAAACGACUGCUAAUACCGCAUACGUCCUACGGGAGAAAGCAGGGGAUCUUCGGACCUUGCGCUAAUAGAUGAGCCUAAGUCGGAUUAGCUAGUUGGUGGGGUAAAGGCCUACCAAGGCGACGAUCUGUAGCGGGUCUGAGAGGAUGAUCCGCCACACUGGGACUGAGACACGGCCCAGACUCCUACGGGAGGCAGCAGUGGGGAAUAUUGGACAAUGGGCGAAAGCCUGAUCCAGCCAUGCCGCGUGUGUGAAGAAGGUCUUCGGAUUGUAAAGCACUUUAAGUUGGGAGGAAGGGUUGUAGAUUAAUACUCUGCAAUUUUGACGUUACCGACAGAAUAAGCACCGGCUAACUCUGUGCCAGCCGCCGCCGUAAGAC
rnacentral:rRNA from 1 species